UAAUGCGUGACCAACCUGCCCCAUGCUCCAGAAUAGCUCUUGGAAACGGGUGGUAAUGCUGGAUGCUCCAACUUGACGCAUGUCUUGUUGGAAAGUGUUUAGUGGCAUGGGAUGGGGUCGCGUCCUAUCAGCUUGUAGGCGGGGUAAUGGCCCACCUAGGCUUCGACGGGUAGCCGGCCUGAGAGGGCGGACGGCCACAUUGGGACUGAGAUACGGCCCAGACUCCUACGGGAGGCAGCAGCUA
rnacentral:rRNA from 1 species